UAACACGUGGGUAACCUGCCCAGAAGUAGGGGAUAACACCUGGAAACAGAUGCUAAUACCGUAUAACAGAGAAAACCGCAUGGUUUUCUUUUAAAAGAUGGCUCUGCUAUCACUUCUGGAUGGACCCGCGGCGUAUUAGCUAGUUGGUGAGGUAAAGGCUCACCAAGGCAGUGAUACGUAGCCGACCUGAGAGGGUAAUCGGCCACAUUGGGACUGAGACACGGCCCAGACUCCUACGGGAGGCACAGUAGGGAAUCUUCCACAAUGGACGCAAGUCUGAUGGAGCAACGCCGCGUGAGUGAAGAAGGGUUUCGGCUCGUAAAGCUCUGUUGUUAAAGAAAACGUGGGUAAGAGUAACUGUUUACCCA
rnacentral:rRNA from 1 species